UGUCUUUGGUAAGGAGAGUAAUUUAAAAUGGUGAGGAUGAGCACAAUCUAAAAUGAGGUGAGUAAUCUACGAUGGUGAGGAGGAGAGAAAUGUACGACGGUGAGGAGGAGGAGAGUAAUCUAAAAUGGUGAGGAGGAGAGUAAUCUAAGAUGGUGAGGAGGAGAGUAAUCUAAGACUGUGACGAUGAUGAGAAUAAUCUAAGAUUGUGAGGUGAAGUAGAACAAUCUAAGAUUGUGAGGAGGAUGAGAGUCAUCUAACAUUGUGAUGACGAUGAGAAAAAUCUAAGAUUGUGAGGAGGCUGAGAAUAAUCUAAGAUUGUGAGGAGGCUGAGAAUAAUCUAAGAUUGUGAUGACGAUGAGAAUAAUCUAAGAUUGUGAGGAGGAGGGGAGUAAUCUAAAAUGGUGAUGAGAAGGGUAAUAUGGAGAUGAGGAGAGUAAUAUGGUGAUGAGGAGAGUAAUAUGUUGAUGAGGAGACUAAUAUGGAGGUGAGGAGAGCAAUAUGGCGGUGAGGAGAGUAAUAUGGUGAUGAGGAGACUAAUAUGGAGAUGAGGAGAGUAAUAUGGUGAUGAGGAGAGUAAUAUGGAGACGAGGAGAGUAAUAUGGAGAUGAGGAGAGUAAUAUGGAGAUGAGGAGAGUAAUAUGGCGAUGAGGAGAGUAAUAUGGAGAUGAGGAGAGUAAUAUGGAGAUGAGGAGAGCAAUAUGGAGAUGAGGAGAGCAAUAUGGAGAUGAGGAGAGUAAUAUGGAGAUGAGGAGAGUAAUAUGGAGAUGAGGAGAGCAAUAUGGAGAUGAGGAGAGCAAUAUGGCGGUGAGGAGAGCAAUAUGGAGAUGAGGAGAGUAAUAUGGAGAUGAGGAGAGUAAUAUGGAGAUGAGGAGAGUAAUAUGGAGAUGAGGAGAGUAAUAUGGAGAUGAGGAGAGUAAUAUGGAGAUGAGGAGAGCAAUAUGGAGAUGAGGAGAGCAAUAUGGCGGUGAGGAGAGUAAUAUGGUGAUGAGGAGAGUAAUAUGGAGAUGAGGAGAGUAAUAAAGAGAAUAGGAGAGCAAUAUGGUGGUGAGGAGAGCAAUAUGGAGAUGAGGAGAGUAAUAUGGAGAUGAGGAGAGUAAUAUGGCGAUGAGGAGAGUAAUAUGGAGAUGAGGAGAGUAAUCUAAGUAAUCCAAUAGGAGGCCAGAUGCAGGUUCAGAUGCAGAUUCUUAAAGUAACUUAAAGCAGCCGGCCUGGUAAAUUUCUAUGUUCAAAGAAACGUCUCAGAGGAGUUACUGCAUGUUGAAAGGUGAGAU
rnacentral:lncRNA from 1 species